GACGAACCGAGCGAACGUUGUUCGGAAUCACUGGGCUUAAAGGGCGCGUAGGCGGGCUGUCAAGUCUGGGGUGAAAUCCCGCGGCUCAACCGUGGAACUGCCUCAGAUACUGACGGCCUCGAGGGAGAUAGGAGCGAGCGGAACUAAUGGUGGAGCGGUGAAAUGCGUUGAUAGUCAUUAGGAACUCCGGUGGCGAAGGCGGCUCGCUGGAUCUUUCUGACGCUGAGGCGCGAAAGCUAGGGGAGCAAACGGG
rnacentral:rRNA from 1 species